UACAGGGGGGCAAGCGUUGUUCGGAAUUACUGGGCGUAAAGGGUCUGUAGGUGGCCAACUAAGUCAGACGUGAAAUCCCUCAGCUUAACUGGGGAACUGCGUCUGAUACUGGAUGGCUUGAGUGUGGGAGAGGAAUGCGGAAUUCCAGGUGUAGCGGUGAAAUGCGUAGAUAUCAGGAGGAACACCGGCGGUGUAGACGGCUUUCUGGACCGUAGCUGACGCUGAGACACGAAAGCGUGGGUAGCAAACAGG
rnacentral:rRNA from 1 species